AUUGAACGCUGGCGGCAGGCCUAACACAUGCAAGUCGAGCGGUAGAGAGAAGCUUGCUUCUCUUGAGAGCGGCGGACGGGUGAGUAAUGCCUAGGAAUCUGCCUGGUAGUGGGGGAUAACGUUCGGAAACGGACGCUAAUACCGCAUACGUCCUACGGGAGAAAGCAGGGGACCUUCGGGCCUUGCGCUAUCAGAUGAGCCUAGGUCGGAUUAGCUAGUUGGUGGGGUAAUGGCUCACCAAGGCGACGAUCCGUAACUGGUCUGAGAGGAUGAUCAGUCACACUGGAACUGAGACACGGUCCAGACUCCUACGGGAGGCAGCAGUGGGGAAUAUUGGACAAUGGGCGAAAGCCUGAUCCAGCCAUGCCGCGUGUGUGAAGAAGGUCUUCGGAUUGUAAAGCACUUUAAGUUGGGAGGAAGGGCAGUAAAUUAAUACUUUGCUGUUUUGACGUUACCGACAGAGUAAGCACCGGCUAACUCUGUG
rnacentral:rRNA from 1 species